UAAUACGGAGGAUCCGAGCGUUAUCCGGAUUUAUUGGGUUUAAAGGGUGCGUAGGCGGGUUGUCAAGUCAGCGGUGAAAGGUUACGGCUCAACCGUAAGAAGGCCAUUGAAACUGACAAUCUUGAGUGUAGAUGAGGUGGGUGGAAUUCGUGGUGUAGCGGUGAAAUGCAUAGAUAUCACGAGGAACACCGAUUGCGUAGGCAGCCCACUGGGCUACAACUGACGCUGAGGCACGAAGGUGCGGGGAUCAAACAGG
rnacentral:rRNA from 1 species